rnacentral:rRNA from 1 species
AUUGAACGCUGGCGGAAUGCUUUACACAUGCAAGUCGAACGGCAGCACGGGGGCAACCCUGGUGGCGAGUGGCGAACGGGUGAGUAAUACAUCGGAACGUGCCCGGUCGUGGGGGAUAACGUAGCGAAAGUUACGCUAAUACCGCAUACGUUCUGAGGAUGAAAGCGGGGGACCUUCGGGCCUCGCGCGAUCGGAGCGGCCGAUGUCAGAUUAGGUAGUUGGUGGGGUAAAGGCCUACCAAGCCGACGAUCUGUAGCUGGUCUGAGAGGACGACCAGCCACACUGGGACUGAGACACGGCCCAGACUCCUACGGGAGGCAGCAGUGGGGAAUUUUGGACAAUGGGCGCAGGCCUGAUCCAGCCAUUCCGCGUGCAGGACGAAGGCCUUCGGGUUGUAAACUGCUUUUGUAUGGAACGAAAAGGCUCUGGCUAAUACCUGGGGCUCAUGACGGUACCGUAAGAAUAAGCACCGGCUAACUACGUG